ensembl:rRNA 5S_rRNA 5S ribosomal RNA
ACCUUCAGCCAUUUGCUGCUGGUGUCUAUGCUAAUACCAUUCUGAUAUUGGAAGCUAAGCAGGGUUGGGCUGGGUCAAUACUUAGAUGGGAGUUCACCUGGGAAUAACAGGAGCAGUAGGCU